GACGAACGCUGGCGGCGUGCUUAACACAUGCAAGUCGAGCGGUAAGGCCCUUUCGGGGGUACGACGAGCGGCGAACUGGUGAGUAACACGUGGGUGACCUGCCCUCCAGCUCUGGGAUAAGCCUGGGAAACCGGGUCUAAUACUGGAUAUGACUCCAUGACGCAUGUUGUGGGGUGGAAAGCCUUGUGCGGCUGAGGAUGGGCCCGCGGCCUAUCAGCUUGUUGGUGGGGUGAUGGCCUACCAAGGCGACGACGGGUAGCCGGCCUGAGAGGGCGACCGGCCACACUGGGACUGAGACACGGCCCAGACUCCUACGGGAGGGCAGCAGUGGGGAAUCUUGCGCAAUGGGCGAAAGCCUGACGCAGCGACGCCGCGUGAGGGAUGACGGCCU
rnacentral:rRNA from 1 species